UACAGGGGGCUCGAGCGUUAGUCGGAAUCACUGGGCUUAAAGGGUGCGUAGGCGGCUCAUCAAGUGUUUUGUGAAAGCCCACAGCUCAACUGUGGAACCGCAGGGCAAACUGAUGAGCUUGAGGCAGGUAGGGGCCGGAAGAACAGUAGGUGGAGCGGUGAAAUGCGUAGAUAUCUACUGGAAUGCCGAUGGGGAAGCCGUCCGGCUGGGCCUGUCCUGACGCUGAGGCACGAAAGCGUGGGGAGCAAACAGG
rnacentral:rRNA from 1 species